GUCGCUGUGGUGGAAUUGGCAGACACCGGAGACUUAAAAUCUCCCGCCGGCAACGGCGUACCGGUUCGAGUCCGGUCAGCGGCACCA
rnacentral:tRNA from 1 species